GGGCUAUUAGCUCAGUUGGUUAGAGCGCACCCCUGAUAAGGGUGAGGCCGCUGGUUCAAAUCCAGCAUAGCCCACCCCCAACAC
rnacentral:tRNA from 1 species